ACGUGAAGCCCGGGCUUGCCCGGGUGGAAAGUGGCGAACGGGUGCGUAACACGUGAGCAACCUGCCCCGAAGACCGGGAUAACAGCGGGAAACCGCUGCUAAUACCGGAUGCCCUCAUCAUGUCGCAUGGCGAGAUGAGGAAAUGGAUUCCGCUUCGGGAUGGGCUCGCGGUCUAUCAGCUUGUUGGUGAGGUAACGGCUCACCAAGGCUACGACGGAUAGCUGGUCUGAGAGGAUGUCCAGCCACACUGGGACUGAGACACGGCCCAGACUCCUACGGGAGGCAGCAGUGGGGAAUCUUGCACAAUGGGCGAAAGCCUGAUGCAGCGACGCCGCGUGCGGGAUGACGGCCUUCGGGUUGUAAACCGCUUUCAGCAGGGACGAUUAUGACGGUACCUGCAGAAGAAGCCCCGGCCAACUACGUGCCAGCAGCCGCG
rnacentral:rRNA from 1 species